rnacentral:lncRNA from 1 species
CAAAGUUGUAACCCCAAAAACAGCUUUGUUUCUGAUUGAAACUGAAGAACUGAAGUUUUGCUUAUCGCUUUUUGUAGAGCAUUUCUAAUUGUUGUUCCAAGCCCAUAAUCAAAACACUUUCGACAGCUGUUUUACGCUGAACACCAAACACACAUGCCACACACGAGCACAAGUACGGUUGCACCUCCAAAAUGGAGAACAAAGAUAGCAAAGAAACAAACUUCAAGUACAGAAUAAGUACAAAUGGAAUUCCUGUGGCUGAGUCAGCCCGAGUCAGAGAGGAAGAACUGUUAAUUGCAAAAUCAAAUUGAGUAAUUGGCUGACUGAUUGAGUGGAGCCAAUGUGCCAAAAAAGCAAAAAGAUUACCUCAUCAGGGAGUGUGUGAACUCAUCAUCAUCAUCAUCAUCAUCAUCAUCAUCAUCGUUGCGAACAUCUCUAGAAAUGGCAAUGAGCGAAACGUUUCCAGGAAAAGUGUGCCUGCCAUCCGACACUGACACUGACACUGACUCUCCCUCCUCCUUCUGGCUAAUUACAAGCAAACGCAUUUUAAUUUUCAUAAAAAAUAAUCAAAACAUGUGCCACACCACACACCAAACACACUCUCACUCUCUCUCUGUCAUUCGCAGAUAAAUAAAGAAGAAACAAUACGAAAUGG